GAUUAUUGGACAAGGGGCGAACUCUUGAUCCAGCCAUGCCUCGUGGGUGAAGAAGGUCUGGGGAUGGUAAAGCACUGUCAUUUGGGAGGAAGUGCAGUAAGUUAAGAGCUUGCGCAUUCGACGUUACCUGCAUAAUAAGCACCUGCUAACUUCGUGCUGUCAGCCGCGGUAAUACGAAGGGUGCAAGCGUUAAGCGGAAUUACUGGGCGUAAAGCGCGCGUAGGUGGUUUGUUAAGUUGGAAGUGAAAGCCCCGGGCUCAACCUGGGAACUACUUUCAAAACUAGCAAGCUAGAGUAUGGCAGAGGGUGGUGGAAUUUCCUGUGUAGCGGUGAAAUGCGUAGAUAUAGGAAGGAACACCAGUGGCGAAGGCGACCACCUGGACUAAUACUGACACUGAGGAGCGAAAGCGUGGGGAGCAAAC
rnacentral:rRNA from 1 species